rnacentral:rRNA from 1 species
CACGUAGGGGACGAGCGUUGUCCGGAUUCAUUGGGCGUAAAGAGCUCGUAGGCGGUUCGAUAAGUCGGGUGUGAAACCUCCAGGCUCAACCUGGAGACGCCACCCGAUACUGUCGUGACUAGAGUCCAGUAGGGGAGCGUGGAAUUCCUGGUGUAGCGGUGAAAUGCGCAGAUAUCGGGAGGAACACCAAUGGCGAAGGCAGCUCGCUGGGACGUUACUGACGCUGAGACGCGAAAGCGUGGGGAGCAAACAGG